rnacentral:snRNA from 1 species
GCUGCCCAAGUGUCUUUCAUGAACCUCGCUCUUGCCUUUUACCAGAACGAGCAGGAAAUGCGCUUGAACAAGGCAGUUAUCACACUUUUUGGAAUCAUCAUCUCUUCCUGAGGGG